CCCUUAGAUGUUCUGGGCCGCACGCGCGCUACACUGAUGCAUUCAACGAGCCUAUCCUUGACCGACAGGUCCGGGUAAUCUUUGAAUCUGCAUCGUGACGGGGAUAGAUUAUUGCAAUUAUUAAUCUUCAACGAGGAAUGCCUAGUAGGCGCAAGUCAUCAGCUUGCGUCGAUUACGUCCCUGCCCUUUGUACACACCGCCAGUCGCUCCUACCGAUUGGGUGUGCUGGUGAAAUGUUCGGAUCGGCCGUUUGUCGCGGUUUCCGCGUCAUGUGGCUGAGAAGUUCAUUAAACCCUCCCACCUAGAGGAAGGAGAAGUCGUAACA
rnacentral:rRNA from 1 species